UGUAUUUGUUCAACUGGUAUAAUGGCAUGGAAGACAGAUAUAAAAAUAAGUCCUCUUUUUCAAGACAGAACUCAUUGUUCAGUAUCAGUUGUGAUAUAUAAAAGAGUAAAUGGGACACA